GCAUGGCUGAAUUCUGUGUUGCUCUGUCCAUAGUAAAUGCAGUCAGACACCAUGCCAGAUGAUCUCUCCCUCUCUUUGUCCUACAUGAUUCUCUCAUGCUGGGAGUUAUCACCCUGUGAGGGAGCACACAAAC
ensembl:snoRNA small nucleolar RNA SNORA15